AACGAACGCUGGCGGCAGGCUUAACACAUGCAAGUCGAACGGGCGUCGCAAGACGUCAGUGGCAGACGGGUGAGUAACGCGUGGGAACAUACCCUCCGGUUCGGAAUAACUCAGGGAAACUUGAGCUAAUACCGGAUACGGCUUAGCGGCGAAAGAUUUAUCGCCGGAGGAUUGGCCCGCGUCCGAUUAGCUAGUUGGUGUGGUAAUGGCGCACCAAGGCGACGAUCGGUAGCUGGUCUGAGAGGAUGAUCAGCCACAUUGGGACUGAGACACGGCCCAAACUCCUACGGGAGGCAGCAGUGGGGAAUAUUGGACAAUGGGCGCAAGCCUGAUCCAGCCAUGCCGCGUGAGUGAUGACGGCCUUAGGGUUGUAAAGCUCUUUCGCCAGGGACGAUAAUGACGGUACCUGGAUAAGAAGCCCCGGCUAACUUCGUGCCAGCCGCCGCCGUAAAAC
rnacentral:rRNA from 1 species